rnacentral:rRNA from 1 species
UACGGAGGGAGCUAGCGUUGUUCGGAAUUACUGGGCGUAAAGCGCGCGUAGGCGGCUUUGUAAGUUAGAGGUGAAAGCCCGGGGCUCAACUCCGGAACUGCCUUUAAGACUGCAUCGCUUGAAUCCAGGAGAGGUGAGUGGAAUUCCGAGUGUAGAGGUGAAAUUCGUAGAUAUUCGGAAGAACACCAGUGGCGAAGGCGGCUCACUGGACUGGUAUUGACGCUGAGGUGCGAAAGCGUGGGGAGCAAACGGG